rnacentral:misc_RNA from 1 species
AAAGUCGUAACAAGGUUUCCGUAGGUGAACCUGCGGAAGGAUCAUUGUCAAACCUUAAAAAUUGUUUAUAUGGAUUAGCCUAAUGUUGGGCUUCUUUUUGUAAAAGAAUAGGAGUACAGCGUUAGGCUUUAUCCAUAUAUAACGAACCUAAACUUAUGUGCACCUAUUUUUAACAAACCCCAAACAUGUUAAAUCUAGACUGAUUUGUAUUAUUCUAUUUUUUGAGAUAUUCAAAAAGUAAAAAAAGACAACUUUUAACAACGGAUCUCUUGGCUCUC